CUGGCUCUGAAUCAAGGCUGUUAGCUUCCUGACGCUGUUGGUUUCAAGUAGGAGCCUAAAGAGAUAUUUUCUAUGAUCUGUUGGCCAUCUCAGAACUUGGGCAGUGAAAUGGUCAAUUCAUUAGAAAGAAAGUUUG
ensembl:snoRNA